rnacentral:rRNA from 1 species
UGGGGAAUAUUGGACAAUGGGCGAAAGCCUGAUCCAGCCAUGCCGCGUGUGUGAAGAAGGUCUUCGGAUUGUAAAGCACUUUAAGUUGGGAGGAAGGGCAGUUACCUAAUACGUAUCUGUUUUGACGUUACCGACAGAAUAAGCACCGGCUAACUCUGUGCCAGCAGCCGCGGUAAUACAGAGGGUGCAAGCGUUAAUCGGAAUUACUGGGCGUAAAGCGCGCGUAGGUGGUUUGUUAAGUUGGAUGUGAAAUCCCCGGGCUCAACCUGGGAACUGCAUUCAAAACUGACAAGCUAGAGUAUGGUAGAGGGUGGUGGAAUUUCCUGUGUAGCGGUGAAAUGCGUAGAUAUAGGAAGGAACACCAGUGGCGAAGGCGGCUAUCUGGACGGUUUCUGACACUAAGACUCGAAAGCGUGGGGAGCAAACAGGAUUAGAUACCCCCGUAGUCCCUGAGCGGGCUGGCAAGGCGCAU